CCUACGGGAGGCAGCAGUAGGGAAUAUUGGUCAAUGGGCGAAAGCCUGAACCAGCAACGCCGCGUGGAGGAUGAAUGCUUUCUGGUUUGUAACUUCUUUUUUUAGAGAAGAUAAUGACGCUAUGUAACGAAUAAGCUCCGGCUAACUCCGUUCCAGCAGCCGCGGUAAUACGGAGGGUGCAAGCGUUACUCGGAAUCACUGGGCGUAAAGAGAGCGUAGGCGGGAUAGCAAGUCAGAUGUGAAAUCUUAUGGCUUAACCAUAGAACUGCAUUUGAAACUGGUAUUCUAGAGUUUGGGAGAGGUAGGUGGAAUUCUUGGUGUAGCGGUGAAAUGCGUAGAGAUCAAGAGGAAUACUCAUUGCGAAGGCGACCUGCUAGAACAUAACUGACGCUGAGGCGCGAAAGCGUGGGGAGCAAACAGGAUUAGAUACCCCUGUAGUC
rnacentral:rRNA from 1 species